AAAAAGGGCUUCUGUCAUGACUGACACAGGGAGGGGGCGGGCUUCGCUCCCUCUCUGCGGAAUCGCCAUCAAGAGAUUUCGGAAGCACAAUUUUUGAACAAGGGGGCUGCUGAUGAUCGCUUGUCUCGGCGCCCCA
ensembl:snRNA RNU11-3P U11 spliceosomal RNA